UUGGGAGCUUGAUAUAGCCAGGAUUCUUGCUCAGGGCUUCUCCAAGCAUCUUGGCAGCCUCCGCCUCUGCCUCCCCCUCAGGCUGCACAAUCUUCUGUCAUUGUUCCUGCUUUGCUUUCUCCACCCAACACUGGGCCCACUGGACUUCCUGCUGGGCCACUUGUUCGGCUUCUACAGCAGCUUGUACUCUCAGCUGAAGCUCAGCUCUGUGAUAGCUAUAUCAUCCAGGAUGAGGCUGAAGUCCUUGGCAUGUUCUGUCAGCUCUCUUCGGAUCAACAGGGACACCUGAGCCCGUUGGUAAUCAGCUGCGAGGUAUUGAACUUGGCCACCACACUCUUGAGCCACAGGCCAUUUACAAUGGACCGCAGCACUCACUCCUCGUAGUCUAGCCCUAGGCACUGGUACAUUCUGGGGAGCUCCUGGGCCUUGGGCCGAGAUAGUAUGAGCAGGGAGAUGUUCACCAUCUGCGUGUCUUUGGAGCCUGUUGUGGGGGCAGGGGUGGAGAUUUUUCAAGGUCUGGCCCGAAUGUUAUAGAUGAUGGGGUACUGGAACCAGAAGCAGCUUCAGCACCGCGUCCAUGCCCCGAGGCCUGGCGGGCAGGCAUCUGGCUAAACCCUAGUCAUCAAUACGACCCUCUGCUGCAGCACCACAGACACCAUCAAAGCCCUCAGCAGCAGUGCAGGCCAAAGGCCUCAGGGGCAACACGGGCCAUGGACACCAA
rnacentral:lncRNA from 1 species